UACGAAGGGGGCUAGCGUUGUUCGGAAUCACUGGCGUAAAGCGCACGUAGGCGGAUCCUUAAGUCAGGGGUGAAAUCCCGAGGCUCAACCUCGGAACUGCCUUUGAUACUGGGGAUCUUGAGUCCGGGAGAGGUGAGUGGAAUUGCGAGUGUAGAGGUGAAAUUCGUAGAUAUUCGCAAGAACACCAGUGGCGAAGGCGGCUCACUGGCCCGGUACUGACGCUGAGGUGCGAAAGCGUGGGGAGCAAACAGG
rnacentral:rRNA from 1 species